CAGCAAGAGUGGAGAAAGUGCGGAAAGAAGCAACAGCCGCUCCACCCGCGGGCGGAAAAGUGGCCGGGCGCGGCGGCGGGAUGCGGCGCGGCUAACGGUCCCCGGCGGCCGCGGAGCCGCUAGGCGCAGAGGCAGGACAUGAAGACACUAGACACUCUCAGGGAUGGAGCAAUGGGCAAUGUGUGUGCUUACAUCUCUAAGGAGAGCUGAGUUUAGAAAACAAAGCAAUCCAGAAUCACUCUACAGCCAUUGGAUGAGGACUCUCUGGCUUCUAGCUACUCCCUUCCAUCCUUUUGACACAUCAGAAUAAACUCCACUGCAUAAUACAAGCUUACCAAUAGCAAGAAGAAAGGAGCUAAUGGAAGUCCAGUGAAGGUGAACACUCCUCCAUUGCUGUU